rnacentral:rRNA from 1 species
UGAUUCCAUUCCGAACUCAGAAGUGAAACGAAAUAGCGCCGAUGGUAGUGUGGGGUUUCCCCAUGUGAGAGUAGGACAUCGCCAGGCU